GACGUAGGGCGCGAGCGUUGUCCGGAUUUAUUGGGCGUAAAGAGCUCGUAGGCGGCUUGUCGCGUCGUCCGUGAAAACCUGCAGCUCAACUGCAGGCUUGCGGUCGAUACGGGCAGGCUGGAGUUCGGUAGGGGAGACUGGAAUUCCUGGUGUAGCGGUGAAAUGCGCAGAUAUCAGGAGGAACUCCGGUGGCGAAGGCGGGUCUCUGGGCCGAUACUGACGCUGAGGAGCGAAAGCGUGGGGAGCGAACAGG
rnacentral:rRNA from 1 species